GAGUUUGAUCUUGGCUCAGAUUAGAACGCUGGCGGCAUGCCUUACACAUGCAAGUCGAACGGCAGCAUGAUCUAGCUUGCUAGAUUGAUGGGCGAGUGGCGAACGGGUGAGUAAUACAUCGGAACGUGCCCUGUAGUGGGGAUAACUAGUCGAAAGAUUAGCUAAUACCGCAUACGACCUGAGGGUGAAAGUGGGGGACCGCAAGGCCUCAUGCUAUAGGAGCGGCCGAUGUCUGAUUAGCUAGUUGGUGGGUAAAGGCCACCAAGGCGACGAUCAGUAGCUGGUCUGAGAGGACGAUCAGCCACACUGGGACUGAGACACGGCCCAGACU
rnacentral:rRNA from 1 species